rnacentral:miRNA from 1 species
UGGGCCUCUGAUUGAGAUUGC